rnacentral:rRNA from 1 species
AGAGUUUGAUCCUGGCUCAGGAUUAACGCUAGCGGCAGGCCUAAUACAUGCAAGUCGAGGGGUAAAUUGGUAGCAAUACUAAUGAGACCGGCGCACGGGUGCGUAACACGUAUGCAAUCUGCCUUUGACUGGGGAAUAGCUCCUCGAAAGAGGAAUUAAUACCGCAUAAUGUUCAGGAAAGACAUCUUUCUUGAACCAAAACUCCGGUGGUCAAAGAUGAGCAUGCGUCCGAUUAGCUAGUUGGCGGGGUAAUAGCCCACCAAGGCUACGAUCGGUAGGGGGUCUGAGAGGAUGAUCCCCCACACUGGUACUGAGACACGGACCAGACUCCUACGGGAGGCAGCAGUAAGGAAUAUUGGACAAUGGGGGCAACCCUGAUCCAGCCAUGCCGCGUGAAGGAUGAAGGCGCUAUGCGUUGUAAACUUCUUUUGAAUGGGAAAAAUAUCCCGCACUUGUGCGGGAUUGAUGGUACCAUUAGAAUAAGGGUCGGCUAACUUCGUGCCAGCAGCCGCGGUAAUACGAAGGACCCGAGCGUUAUCCGGAUUUAUUGGGUUUAAAGGGUGCGUAGGCGGGUUUAUAAGUCAGUGGUGAAAGCCCAUCGCUCAACGAUGGAAUUGCCAUUGAUACUGUAAAUCUUGAGUACAUUUGAGGCGGGCGGAAUGUGUCAUGUAGCGGUGAAAUGCUUAGAUAUGACACAGAACACCGAUUGCGAAGGCAGCUCGCUAAACUGUAACUGACGCUGAGGCACGAAAGCGUGGGGAUCAAACAGGAUUAGAUACCCUGGUAGUCCACGCCCUAAACGAUGAUUACUCGAUGUGUGCGAUACACUGCACGCGUCUGAGCGAAAGCAUUAAGUAAUCCACCUGGGGAAUACGGUCGCAAGAUUGAAACUCAAAGGAAUUGACGGGGGCCCGCACAAGCGGAGGAGCAUGUGGUUUAAUUCGAUGAUACGCGAGGAACCUUACCUGGGCUUGAAAGUUAGUGAAUAACUCCGAAAAGAGUUAGUCCGCAAGGACACGAAACUAGGUGCUGCAUGGCUGUCGUCAGCUCGUGCCGUGAGGUGUUAGGUUAAGUCCUGCAACGAGCGCAACCCCUACUAUUAGUUGCCAUCGGGUAAUGCCGGGGACUCUGAUAGGACUGCCCGCGCAAGCGGUGAGGAAGGUGGGGAUGACGUCAAGUCAGCACGGCCCUUACGUCCAGGGCUACACACGUGCUACAAUGGUCGGUACAAUGGGCAGCUACACAGCGAUGUGAUGCUAAUCUCUAAAACCGGCCUCAGUUCGGAUUGAAGUCUGCAACUCGACUUCAUGAAGCUGGAUUCGCUAGUAAUCGUACAUCAGCAAUGGUACGGUGAAUACGUUCCCGGGCCUUGUACACACCGCCCGUCAAGCCAUGGAAGUUGGGGGUACCUGAAGUCGAUCACCGAAAGGAGUCGCCUAAGGUAAAACCAAUGACUGGGGCUAAGUCGUAACAAGGUAGCCGUACCGGAGGGUGCGGCUG